rnacentral:rRNA from 1 species
UGGGGAAUUUUGGACAAUGGGCGAAAGCCUGAUCCAGCCAUGCCGCGUGAGUGAAGAAGGCCUUCGGGUUGUAAAGCUCUUUUAGUCGGAAAGAAAGAGUUGCAAUGAAUAAUUGUGAUUUAUGACGGUACCGACAGAAAAAGCACCGGCUAACUACGUGCCAGCAGCCGCGGUAAUACGUAGGGUGCGAGCGUUAAUCGGAAUUACUGGGCGUAAAGGGUGCGCAGGCGGUCUUGCAAGUCAGAUGUGAAAGCCCCGGGCUUAACCUGGGAAUUGCGUUUGAAACUACAAGACUAGAGUGCAGUAGAGGGGAGUGGAAUUCCAUGUGUAGCAGUGAAAUGCGUAGAGAUGUGGAAGAACACCGAUGGCGAAGGCAGCUGGCUACGCGGAUAUUGACACUGAGGCACGAAAGCGUGGGGAUCAAACA